UGCGAUGUGUACAGUUUUGGAAUUUGCCUGUGGGAGAUAUACUGCUGUGACAUGCCAUAUCCAGACCUCAGUUUCUCGGAAGUGACAUCUGCUGUUGUCCGACAGAAUCUGAGGCCAGAAAUACCCCGUUGUUGCCCAAGCUCUUUUGCCAAUGUAAUGAAGCGAUGCUGGGAUGCAAAUCCCUACAAGCGGCCUGAAAUGGAGGAGGUUGUGUCCAUGUUAGCAGCAAUCGACACAUCCAAGGGUGGAGGUAUGCUCCCUGUAGAUCAACCUCAAGGCUGUCUCUGUUUCCGCAGGUACCGUGGGCCGUAAAUGUUGUUUCCAGGAUUGUGGGACAGUAUAUUCUAAAGUUUGAAUUGGUAUCUUAUUCAUUUGAAGAUACUGGGAGGUGGUUAUGGUAAACUGCGGAGGCUAGAAGCUAAGAGGAGCCCUGCAGCAACUGUUUCUUUAUCAGAUAAAGCAUUCUGUAAAGCUCUUCUUUUUCUUUUACCUUGUUCUUGCUCUGAUUUGUAAGAAACAUGCAUCUUAUUUGACUGGCCAACAUACAAAUGACAAAUUUGAAUCUGUUCACUUUCUAUCAGCAG
rnacentral:misc_RNA from 1 species